AAGUAUAGGAGACAGGCAAAAUGAGAGGGUCCAUCUUUCAGCUAACUUUCUCAAGAGCAAUCUUGCACUGGAAAAACUAAAUACUUCUACUUGAGUGGGCUUAAGUAUUCGAACAAGCACAAAUUGAAGACUUCAGAAUUGUCUGACGGAUACAUCUGCAUUCACUUGAACAGAGUGGAUUUCAUUGUAGGACAGAUUCAGGAAUCACGCCCAAGACAAGAAAUGCACUACACAGUGGCGUGGCAUCAAAGAUCAGAUCGGCUGAAAUCUUCUGCGGAAUGAAGUCUUCUCUCACGUUUGGAUCAUGUAUAUGUUUAGUGACCCCGCAGCUGCUGUAAGGGCCCAACUGAACUUAGGACAGACAUUCAAAGUUCACCAGGCUAACUUCUUGCAGGCAGCUGUUUCACAGAAUCACAGAAUGGUUGAGGUUGGAAGGGACCUCUGGAGAUCAUCUAGUCCAACCCCCCUGCUCAAGCAGGGUCACCUGGAGGACAUUGACAGGAUCGCGUCCAGGCGAGUUUUGAAUAUCUCCAGAGAAGGAGACUCCACAACCUCUCUGGGCAACCUGUUCCAGUGCUCUGUCACCCUCACAGUGAAGAAGUUUUUCCUCAUGUUCACAUGGAAUUGUCUGUGUUUCAGUUUGUGCCCGUUGCCUCUUGUCCUUGUAAUGGCACUUUUGACAUAAACAAUAGAGCUUCCUUGCAAAGUGGGGGAACUGAGAAGUAGUGGUUUGAUAGGAAAUGAAGAGUAGGGCUGGAAUAAAUGUUUGCCAGAGGACA
rnacentral:lncRNA from 1 species